UACAGAGGGGGCGAGCGUUGUUCGGAAUUACUGGGCGUAAAGGGCGCGUAGGCGGCCUUCUAAGUCGAACGUGAAAUCCCCGGGCUCAACCCGGGAACUGCGUCCGAUACUGGGAGGCUUGAAUCCGGGAGAGGGAUGUGGAAUUCCAGGUGUAGCGGUGAAAUGCGUAGAUAUCAGGAGGAACACCGAUGGCGAAGGCAGUGGGCUGGGCCGGCACUGACGCUGAGGAGCGAAAGCGUGGGGAGCGAACAGG
rnacentral:rRNA from 1 species